CACUAUAGGCGAUGGAUUAGCGCGCGAUCGCCCUUGUGCCAGCAGCCGCGGUAAUUCCAGCUCCAAUAGCGUAUACUAAAGUUGUUGCGGUUAAAAAGCUCGUAGUUGGAUCUUGGAAUGUGUUCAAGCGGGUCAGCUUCUGGCUGUGCGCUGCUUGACGUGUUCUUCUAUUUGGUUUUGGUGCGGUGCGCUUAACUGCGUGUCGCUCCCGGCCGAAACGUUUACCUUGAAAAAAUUAGAGUGUUCAAAGCAGACCUGUUUGAGUCUGAAUAUUCGUGCAUGGAAUAAUGAAAUAUGAAUUCGGUUCUAUUUUGUUGGUUUUCGGAACUCGAGUUAAUGAUCAAGAGGGACAGACGGGGGCAUUCGUACUCUGCCGUUAGAGGUGAAAUUCUUGGAUCGGCGGAAGACGCUCAACUGCGAAAGCAUUUGCCAAGAAUGUUUUCUUUAAUCAAGAACGAUAGUCGGAGGUUCGAAGACGAUCAGAUACCGUCCUAGUUUCGACUGUAAACUAUGCCAGCUAACGAUCAGACAGAGUUCUCUACGACUUGUCUGGCAGUUUCCGGGAAACCAAAGCGUUUGGGUUCCGGGGGAAGUAUGGUUGCAAAGCUGAAACUUAAAGGAAUUGACGGAAGGGCACCACCAGGAGUGGAGCCUGCGGCUUAAUUUGACUCAACACGGGGAAACUCACCCGGCCCGGACACAGUGAGGAUUGACAGAUUGAGAGUUCUUUCUUGAUUCUGUGGGUGGUGGUGCAUGGCCGUUCUUAGUUGGUGGAGCGAUUUGUCUGGUUAAUUCCGAUAACGAACGAGACUCUGGCAUGUUAAAUAGUCGCGGAAGUGCGUAUGCACUUGCCGAAUUGACUUCUUAGAGGGACUAGUGAUUUUAAUUCACACGAGAUUGAGCAAUAACAGGUCUGUGAUGCCCCAGGCG
rnacentral:rRNA from 1 species